rnacentral:lncRNA from 1 species
UGCAAUGGGAGGCUGUGCUAGAGCUGUUCAGAAGGUGUUUGACCUUUGGGUAUUUGAGGCUAUCCUACCUGCUUUCCAUCUGCUGCUCUGGAAUGGGUCCUGCUAGCCUCAUGUGAAUGUCCUGAGUACUCUGCAGGCCCAGUACAGUAUCAAGGUACAUUGCUGUCUGUUGCCAGAGCACUUGUUCCCCAUUGGGUAUGCCAAGUGAUUCAUCCAUGGAAAACUGAAAACACUCAUUUAUUUCUCCACUCAAAGAACUGCUUUCCAGCUCUGCUCAGCUAGACAAGAUGAGGAAAAUGGGAACCAAGUAGGAAUUUUCUCACCCAGAUCUGUAAGCUGUUUUCAGCAUUGUUGAUGUGCAAGCUGCUCUAGUUUUGUUCCAACGCAAUAUAGGUGAGUUUAAAUUAAGAAACUUAUAAUUGAAUUUUUAAAGGUAUAAUUAAAUAUG